GCAUAUCAAUAAGCGGAGGAAAAGAAACCAACCGGGAUUGCCUCAGUAACGGCGAGUGAAGCGGCAAGAGCUCAAAUUUGAAAGCUGGCUCCUUCGGAGUCCGCAUUGUAAUUUGCAGAGGAUGCUUUGGGUGCGGCCCCCGUCUAAGUGCCCUGGAACGGGCCGUCAGAGAGGGUGAGAAUCCCGUCUUGGGCGGGGUGUCCGUGCCCGUGUAAAGCUCCUUCGACGAGUCGAGUUGUUUGGGAAUGCAGCUCUAAAUGGGUGGUAAAUUUCAUCUAAAGCUAAAUACUGGCCGGAGACCGAUAGCGCACAAGUAGAGUGAUCGAAAGAUGAAAAGCACUUUGAAAAGAGAGUUAAACAGCACGUGAAAUUGUUGAAAGGGAAGCGCUUGCGACCAGACUCGCCCGCGGGGUUCAGCCGGCAUUCGUGCCGGUGUACUUCCCCGUGGGCGGGCCAGCGUCGGUUUGGGCGGCCGGUCAAAGGCCCCUGGAAUGUAGUACCCUCCGGGGUACCUUAUAGCCAGGGGUGCAAUGCGGCCAGCCUGGACCGAGGAACGCGCUUCGGCACGGACGCUGGCAUAAUGGUCGUAAACGACCCGUCUUGAAACACGGACC
rnacentral:rRNA from 1 species